rnacentral:rRNA from 1 species
GAUGAACGCUAGCUACAGGCUUAACACAUGCAAGUCGCGGGGCAGCAUGGGGGUUGCUUGCAAUCCCCGAUGGCGACCGGCGCACGGGUGAGUAACGCGUAUCCAACCUGCCCUUCACCACGGGAUAACCCGGCGAAAGUCGGACUAAUACCGUAUGUUGUCCAUUGACGGCAUCCGAUUUGGACGAAAGGCUUGGCGGUGAGGGAUGGGGAUGCGUCCGAUUAGCCAGACGGCGGGGUAACGGCCCACCGUGGCUACGAUCGGUAGGGGUUCUGAGAGGAAGGUCCCCCACACUGGAACUGAGACACGGUCUAGACUCCUACGGGAGGCAGCAGUGAGGAAUAUUGGUCAAUGGGCGUAAGCCUGAACCAGCCAAGUAGCGUGCAGGAUGACGGCCCUAUGGGUUGUAAACUGCUUUUAUGCGGGGAUAAAGUGGCCCACGUGUGGGCUUUUGCAGGUACCGCAUGAAUAAGGACCGGCUAAUUCCGUG